AUUGUUUUUUCAAAUUUUGUCUAAGGGGGCAGCAUCUUCUACUAUGUGCAUCUACAUUGGAUGGCAGUGGAGCAACACAGAUUGUUUUCUGACAAAAAUCAGCCAAGUACUAGGAGAGGCAGGACUUUAGAAGUGGAGGAGAUGGAGAAGGAAGCUUAGGUUACUAUGGAGUGUGCAAAAAGGUCCUGUGGAUUUAGAUACCACCACACACAAAUGCUGUUGUUGGAAGGUACCUGCCCAGAUAAGGACUGCAUUUCCUCUAGCAUCCAGAUGGGACCAAAUGACUGCUGGCCAAUAGAAGUGAGUGGAAAGGACUGACUCCAGUUCCAGGUUGGGCCUCCAACUGCUCUGGGCACGUCGAUGGAACAGAACACCACCUCCACCCCAAUACCACCAAUUCAACUUUACAUGAAUUAUAAGCGAGAAAUAACUUGGACUGUGUUAAGUCAUUGAGUUUCUGGGGUUUAACUGUUAUUAUAGUUAAGAAUGACUUUAACUAAUAUAGUCAAUGACAUCUAACUGGAGUUAUGAAAUUCAAUUUCUACUUAGAGUAAUUGAAGCAAAGGUUGUGGGGGAGGGGAGGAGGGCAGCACACCAUGAAAUCAGAGAUCCCCAGUACGUGUUAGUUCAUCAGUCAAUCAGUCUUAAGGUCAGGGUGUAGUGUGGGCAGCAGUUGCCUCCCUCUCCCCACAGAACACCCUGAGAAUAGGAAGUUAGAGUAGUCG
rnacentral:lncRNA from 1 species